GACUGAUUCCAUCUGGAUAGAAUGGCGAAAUUUAAGAUGACUAUUAAGAAAAAGAACGGUAUCUUGAGGAAUGGGUGAUGGUGAAUUGCUAGAGGCUAUCCACUAUCUUUUCCCAGUGUCUCUCCAAGUUACAUUUGAUAAAUACUAUUCUUAAUACUUUACCCUGGAUGGAUGAGGCAAUACAUCUGAGCUAGUAAUCAGACUUGUUUCUUAUAUGUGAUGCCAUUCCAGCACUGGACUCAUGGAGGCUGAACAUUUAUUCAGGUAAUAAUAGGUAACAUUUAAGAGGACUUUUUAUGUGCCAG
rnacentral:lncRNA from 1 species